UACGUAGGGUGCAAGCGUUGUCCGGAAUUAUUGGGCGUAAAGAGCUCGUAGGCGGUUCGUCGCGUCGGCUGUGAAAACCUGAGGCUCAACCUCAGGCCUGCAGUCGAUACGGGCGGACUUGAGUACUGCAGGGGAGACUGGAAUUCCUGGUGUAGCGGUGAAAUGCGCAGAUAUCAGGAGGAACACCGGUGGCGAAGGCGGUCUGCUGGGCCAACACUGACGCUGAGGCGCGACAGCGUGGGGAGCAAACAGG
rnacentral:rRNA from 1 species